GCCUCGAUAGCUCAGUUGGGAGAGCGUUAGACUGAAGAUUUAUAAAGGUCACCAGUUCGAUCCUGGUUCGGGGCA